CCUACGGGAGGCAGCAGUAGGGAAUAUUGCUCAAUGGUCGAAACCCUGAAGCAGCAACGCCGCGUGGAGGAUGAAGGUUUUCGGAUUGUAAACUCCUUUUGUUAGAGAAGAUAAUGACGGUAUCUAACGAAUAAGCACCGGCUAACUCCGUGCCAGCAGCCGCGGUAAUACGGAGGGUGCAAGCGUUACUCGGAAUCACUGGGCGUAAAGAGCGCGUAGGCGGGAUAGCAAGUCAGAUGUGAAAUCCUAUGGCUUAACCAUAGAACUGCAUUUGAAACUGGUAUUCUAGAGUAUGGGAGAGGUAGGUGGAAUUCGUGGUGUAGGGGUAAAAUCCGUAGAGAUCAAGAGGAAUACUCAUUGCGAAGGCGACCUGCUAGAGCAUAACUGACGCUGAUGCGCGAAAGCGUGGGGAGCGAACAGGAUUAGAUACCCUUGUAGUC
rnacentral:rRNA from 1 species